rnacentral:rRNA from 1 species
GACGAACGCUGGCGGCAUGCUUAACACAUGCAAGUCGAACGGAAAGGCCCUGCUUUUGUGGGGUGAUCGAGUGGCGAACGGGUAAGUAACAAGUGAGCAACCUGCCCUUGUCUUUGGGAUGACUUAAGGAAACUGGGGUUACUACCAUAUCGGAGCCCCUCCUGCAUGGUGGGGGUUGGAAAGUUUCGGCGGUGUGGGAUGGACUCGCGGCUUAUGAGCUUGUUGGUGGGGUAGUGGCUUACCAAGGCUUUGACGGGUAGCCGGCCUGAGAGGGUGACCGGCCACAUUGGGACUGAGAUACGGCCCAGACUCCUACGGGAGGCAGCAGUGGGGAAUAUUGCACAAUGGGCGGAAGCCUGAUGCAGCAACGCCGCGUGCGGGAUGACGGCCUUCGGGUUGUAAACCGCUUUCGCCUGUGACGAAGCGUGAGUGACGGUAAUGGGUAAAGAAGCACCGGCUAACUACGUG